GGGAGCGGGACGGAAGUGAGCGGGUUCCGCCCCUUCCCCCUCUCGUUGCUGGAGUCGCCUCUCCUGCCGCCGCCGCUGCCAGCUUUCCGGAGAGCCGGAGUCUCCGAGCCGUACCCUCAGUCCCCGGCCGCGCGGAGCCGGGAUGCACUGCUCCUGCUGUGGGUCCUCAUCAUGGAGACCAAACGGGUGGAGAUUCCCGGCAGCGUCCUGGACGAUCUCUGCAGCCGAUUUAUUUUGCAUAUUCCCAGCGAGGAAAGAGACAAUGCUAUCCGAGUUUGUUUUCAGAUUGAACUUGCCCAUUGGUUUUACUUGGAUUUCUGCAUGCAGAACACACCAGGAUUACCUCAGUGUGGGAUAAGAGACUUUGCUAAAGCUGUCUUCAGUCACUGUCCGUUUUUGCUGCCUCAAGGUGAAGAUGUGGAAAAAAUUUUGGAUGAAUGGAAGGAAUAUAAAAUGGGAGUACCAACAUACGGUGCAAUUAUUCUUGAUGAGACACUUGAAAAUGUACUACUGGUUCAGGGGUACCUAGCAAAAUCAGGCUGGGGAUUUCCAAAAGGAAAAGUAAAUAAAGAAGAAGCUCCUCAUGAUUGUGCUGCUAGAGAGGUCUUUGAAGAAACUGGUUUUGAUAUCAAAGAUUAUAUUUGUAAGGAUGAUUACAUUGAACUUCGAAUCAAUGACCAGCUUGCUCGUUUGUACAUCAUUCCAGGCAUUCCAAAAGACACAAAAUUUAACCCAAAAACCAGAAGAGAAAUUCGGAACAUUGAGUGGUUUUCCAUUGAGAAAUUGCCCUGUCAUAGAAAUGAUAUGACCCCUAAAUCCAAACUUGGUUUGGCACCUAACAAAUUUUUUAUGGCCAUUCCCUUUAUCAGGCCAUUGAGGGACUGGCUUUCCCGGAGAUUCGGAGAUUCCUCAGACAGUGACAAUGGAUUUUCCUCUGUUAGUAGCACACCAGCUAAACCCACUGUGGAAAAAUUGAGUCGAACCAAAUUCCGCCACAGUCAACAGUUAUUUCCUGAAGGUUCUCCUAGUGACCAGUGGGUGAAGCACAGGCAGCCACUGCAGCAAAAGGCAUAUAAUAAUCAUUCUGAAAUGUCUGACCUUUUAAAAGCAAAGAAUCAAAGUAUCAGGGGAAAUGGCAGAAAACAGUAUCAGGACUCAUCUAAUCAAAAGAAAAGAACAAACGGAGUCCACUGCCAGCCAGCCAAGCAGCAGAAUCCCUUGAUGAAAUGUGAAAAGAAACUUCAUCCACGAAAACUUCAGGAUAAUUUCGAAACAGAUGCUGUAUGUGACUUGCCUUGCUCUGGCGAAGACCAGUUGCUAGAACAUGCGGAGGGACAGUCUGUGGCAUGUAAUGGUCAUUGCAAGUUCCCCUUUUCAUCCAGAGCCUUUUUGAGUUUUAAGUUUGACCAUAAUGCUAUCAUGAAAAUCUUGGACCUUUGAUAGCAGCAGAUGUGUUGUGGAAGUCCCAGGAUCAGACUUGCAUUUGACAGUAGCAGAAACGGACAUGCUCUUAGGAGCAUGCUGAAGCCCCUGGACGAUGGAGCACGAAGGGAAGGGGCACACAGUUCACACAAGUACAGCUGACUGUUUCACCAGGGGAGGAUCAGAACAUGGAGAACCAGGCUUUCCAGAUAGAAUGCUUGACAAUCCUUGGAUCUUCAGAGAGAGACCUUCUUCUCCAUAGAGACCUCAGCUGUAUGGUUCAAACAGAAGCAGAUUCUCAGGGGCUCUGGCUUGGCAGUCCUGACGGGAGCAUGCUCCGUGAAUCCUCGGAGUUCUACAGGACGUUUUCCACGCGGACGUGAUGUGCACAAAGUGCCAGAGCGAACGGUACAGCAAGAACUAACUAAAGGCAGGUCUCCUGUGGGAAUGGGGGUGAGAGUUCUGUAGAUGGCUUGCUUGCUUCUGCUGCGCUGGCUUUUCAGACGACUAGUGGGGGAGCUGUAGCAACCUUGACUAAGGAAAAAUCAAGUACUGUUAGGGGGCUGGUUUUUCAGUAGCAGUUGCUGUUCCUGGGCAAUGAUUUCUUGGUCACAUGCAAGAUCUAAGAUGCAGUGUGAUAAGAGAAUUUGUCAAAUAUCAAUCAAAAAUGCACCCAUGGUCUUUGUGAAACUGUCUUCCUCUGUCCAGGAAUUGGUAAAAUAAGAAUGCAUGUACAGCUGCUUUUCAGCUUAUAGCCUUUUCCACUUGUUUAUAUUUUAAUAGCCACGGAGUGCUCAGUGAUGAUAUGGUGGCAGCAGCCAGCAUUACAUUAAUUAAUAGUUCUGGUUCCAAUUCUGAGAAGUCCAUGCUUGGCAGCCUAAGGCAUGUAUCUCCUAGUGAAUCACAUGUAAUUAAUUAGAAAGUGACUUCAAGUGUGUGAAAUCGGGAACUUGAGCCUGGCUGACAUGAACACAGGUUUCAGCGAACCAGAACAGGAUUUGGAUGGACUUCAGGAAGAACUGUGUGUGCAGCAGGUAGAGUUUGCAAGCCUCAGUGAAAGGUGACAAUAGUACCAUUUCUUGUCAAAUAGGUCAUUGGACUGGAUAAAUUGAAAAAUAUUUGCUGUAUGAUUUUUUGGGGAGAGUUCUUUAAAAAUUCUGUUGUUAUACAAAGCUGUUGUUUCAGAAAAAAGCUCAAGUUACCCUCUGCUCCUUUCCCUCCCAAAACGCCUUGGCAGCCCUAUGACUGACUAAAUUCGGUACAGAAAUUUCCCUCAUCGGGUCAUUCUUUCCCUUUUGGUCUCUGCUGCAUCCAGAAAUUUAGGUACAGCUGUAAACUUAGUGAACGUGAUCUUUGCACUUUCUGCAGUUUCAUGGAUGAGAGAUAACUCCCAGGUAGGCAUUUGCACAUGGCUUCAAGGAUAUCCGUAAGUCGGUAAUAAAAGCUGUGGGCAUUUCCUGUAGUCCUGAUGUCUCUUCUCAUUACUUUACUCAAAACAUGAACAUGAUAACUAUGGAGGUUCUUAAAUUCAUGCCAGUGACAGUUCAGUCCAGAUGAGCUGAAACUAUCGGGUGAUAAUGUAAUUAGAUCCAUAUGCAGGUGGGAACUAGGAGAUUUUCAAAUAGUUUCAAGCUUUUCUUAGAGCAGUAGAAUCCUUACUAGCCUCAUCGUAACACUUUUUAAGGAAAAAUCGCAUUGGCUUUAACUGGAACUGCCUUUCUGGAGCAAUAGAAUGUCAAGGCUCUAAUUCAAGUUCUCUGAGAUCCCUGUAAAAAGUAUUGAUGCAGGCUCAGAGGAGGACUUAGCAACAGGUGCAUGCAUCUCCAAGGAGAAUUAAGCAGUUAUGUUUAACUGGCACUUAAUAAAAAAUUAACCUAACAUUCCAGUUUCAGGCAACAUGGAUAUGUGCACUUCAGGAACCGGACAUGCUUGCAGAAUAGAGUGAAUAUGAAACCAUUAAUACCAGUAUUGGCAACGAUGAAACAUCUAGUAUGUGCCUCUGGGGCUAGGGCCUGAGUGGGAGGAAGGGCGUGAGAAAUCCCACCUGUCUGAUCACAUGAGGUACUUAAUCAUAAAUAACUUCUGGUACAUCUCAGAGAGGAAUCUUCCCACCUGCAAAUCCAUCAGAGCUCUGGCAGCUGGUGGAGACGGGCUUUGGCGGAAGGUCAGAUCAGUGGGCGGGCCCUCAGAUCGAUGCCACUCCAGCCACAGACUGGUCUCUUUUGCCUGAUUUGUGCCUGAAUUUGGCAAUGGGAAAUACACCCCAAAGGGUCUGUUUCUUCCCAUGCCUGUUUUUCUGAGACCCAGAGACUGAACUCUGAACAGAGAUCAUUGUUGCCUAAAAGGAGUAGCCACUGAGGAAACUGGAAAACAAAAAAACAUGAAAGUCUAAAGACUCCUACAAGUUAAAUCUGUUUCAUUGUUUACCUUUUAUGGAGACAUUAAUAAACUAGCUUCUAUUUAGAAAGAAAAACUCAGGUUAUGAAAAGGUUUCAGGCACCUGCAGUUUUUUACUUUUAAUCAAGGUGAUUUUAGUGGGCUCCACAAUUAGCAUAAACCAGUACCUCUUCGAACACCUUCAACCAGGAUCUUGUCUUGGGGAGUAUUUGAAAAAUACAAGGAAAGGAAAUCAACUAACUGCCUUUUUAUUCCAUACAUUUUUAUAAAAGUAACAGUUUUCUGGAGAAAUAGUUUUGACCUAGUCACCACAUAUUUAAAAGUAUGAUGUUGAAGUAUAAACUCAAAAGGAGCCCAGGCAGGCUGAUACUGGGGCUUAUAAUGGAGGAGCUGAGACUUCGCAAGUCUCAGUUACAGGACCCUACAUGACUCACAUCAGAAGAGUGAGUUCUCUUUUAACUUGGACCAAGAAUGGCAGACAGAGGUCAGCAGACAGGAUUUUAUUCCUAUGUCAGCUAUACCCUUCAGUGUUGGCGAAAUUAAAACGGUUUUGAUGCCACUAGUGGUUUCCCACCUUGGACAUCCCGGUUGGCUGAGGGGAAGCCAUUUCCCCUAGGAAAACUGGAAAAAUAGCAUUAACCUGCCCCCCUUUUUGCACAUAUAUUUUAGCCACAACAUUUUCCUUAUGAUAAAAAUGAAAUUUUAUCAUAAGCAUAAAAAUUGAUUAAAAAAAAUUACAAGAUCCAACUUUGACUAAAUGGUAGACACAUAACAGAAACAGAAGCCAGUGGACACUUUCACAGUGAUCAAAGCAGCCAAAGGCUGGUCCUUCCAGACUAUUACUGGUUUGUUUUGUUUUGUUUGAAGGUGGGCAGCUUCACUGCUGGCCUGAGAAAGGAGGGGGGGCGCUUUUGGGGAAGAAUGCUCUGCCCUCCAAGGUGGUGGCUGGAGUGGCCUUCGCCAUUGCCACGAAGGCUUGAGGAACUUGUAUCGGGUUGUCUGAAAACAGACCUCUAGUUCACCGAUACUGGGGCUCUAAUGUGACCUGGUCAUAAAAAAAAUUUCCUGAACUAUGGCAUCGGGUACAGUUCUCAGGAGACUUUGAGGGAUCUUCAGGUGCUACAGAAUGAGAGUUAAGUGGUCCUUGAAAAUCUGUCCGUGUAGGGUAACUACAGAAGAACUGAAAGAUAGGAUAGGGAAUAAUGAAUUUAAGAUGGAGGCCCUCCUGAAAGAAUUCAGGUACUUUGGUCCUGGCCCAUCCCUGUCAGCAUGUUUCUUGAGAUUUAACCUAUUUUAAGUACUAAGUACUGUAUACUAAGCACCAUUUCUCUUGGGGCCUUCAGAGGAGGUCUCAACAACCAUUCCUUCACCUGCUGCCCUUCCUAACAGCAGCAGCGAAGUCUGACUGGUGGUUCAGUAGCCAUCUCUUCAGUAGGUGGAAUCAGCCUGCAACACAUGCAGUCUACUCCAUGCCCUUCCUCUUACCGUUAGAGAAAUCGAGACAGUUCCAGAGCUGUGUUUUUCCUCCCGUAGAUGAGCUCUGAUUCAUACAGAACAGCGAUUAGGUGGUGCCAGGGGGGGGCGCGGCGGUUUGGCUCCUCAGCUCUUGAACAAACUCCUGGUAAAAUUUUAGUUCCACUUAUAUGUAUCAACAGGACUAUCUCAGCUCUAAGUCUUGGCUUUAAUAGGGCUCCACUGGGAGGGAAAAUCCCAGAGUCCAAAGAAAGUGCCCUUCCCAGCCCUCCCUCCACAGUGAGAGGUGGAAAGAAGUGCUCAUUCUCCCAUAGCUGUCCGGCACAGCCCUGGGGUUGCUCCACCUGCAACUUCAGAUGUAUCUGGGACUGGAAGAACACCUAUGCACCGCCGCCCUGUAAUCUGCCUUUCAGAGCACCUCUGAGUGACUGUCUGUCUCAGGGUUGGUACGUGGGACUUGAACACCAAAGCCUGGUUACAAUAAACAAAUCAGUUCUAGAGGCUGGAAAUACCCCCUCUCCACCCCAUGUGUUGUCAGCAUAUAUCCCUGAAGAAGAGGAGAAAUGGCAUGUCAGAGAUAAGAUCACUAUCUACCAAAAAAGAGGAGAAGAACGGACCGUCCUCUAAAAAAUGCUGAGGGUACUACUUACACAGAAGCUCCAGAACAGGUGGGAGAGUGACCGCCAGGGCUGAGAGCAGAAGCAAGGCCUGCUGCGCAUGGCGCACAGAGCAGGUAUUUACACGCUGUCCGUGGGCCCGGAAGGGGAGGGGCGGGAUCCUCUGGAUACAGUCUACGUGGUGACUCCAGGCCACUCGCCCCUGGGGCAGAAUCCAUGGCACUCCACUGUGUAGGUGCUGACCUACCUGCCAACCUUCCUUUUUGUCACUCUCCCACCAGGUGUUCUGUCUCCUGGGGCACUUCUGUUCCCAGUGACCUGCUGGAGUUUAGCUUCCACGAGAGGAGCUGAUUAAAGUGAAGUUUCAUUGGUGUGUGGCCUUGAGUUCUCCUCCUCCAGCAGAGCUAUUCUUUGCUUGAGCAUCCUCACUUGGGUCUCAUGUCUCUCCACCAUGGCCAUCAUCUGAGAUUCCAACUUCUUCAGUUUGUUUUGGUGCUUCUUCUUUGCUUUCUCAUAGGCAGCUACCAGGUUGCUGUGUGGGAGGAGAGGGAAGAAGGAGGAAUCAUUUGAGUAGUGUUGAGACGCACAUGUACUCAUUGUCUGCUGGGUGACCAGGUCCAGAGCGGUCACUCAGCCUCUAAAGUAGGAAUCUGAGAUCCGGUGUUCUGCACUCAGGGCUAUGCACCUGUUGGUUUAACUGUAGUUACUUCCCAUGCUAGAGACUUCUCCCUAAUCUGUUAGGAGGAGUGUAAACCAACAACCCAGACUAGCCACAUCCAACAUCAGCAACAGAAAAGGCAGCUGAAUUCCAGAAAUCUAUCAUUUAAAUGCAAAUGGUGUAUCUGAAUCUUUUUGUUGUUCCAUGGCUGCCUGCAACAGAUGGUCAGGUGUCAGCUACCCAAGAGUGUUCCUCAAGCCCUGCAGUCUGAGUGUCCUCACCUAGGAGGCGGGCGCAGAGGCUCCGACAACUUCUCUUUACUAUGCUUUGGGCUGGUGGGAGUCAGGAGCACAAGGCCAUAAACUAAUGCUGCCAGCCAAACACAAAAUAAUCCUUUGUGAACUUACAGAGUUCACAAAGUUCUUAAGAAGAACUUCUAAGAGUUUGGUGGAAGAGAACAGAGGGUGAGCCCCGGGGCUGGGUAAGUCCUAAUACCCUCUUUGGUCCAAAAUAGCACCCCAAUCCAUUCCAUGUACAGAUAGGUCUUCCAAGUGUGGUCUGAGAACCGACUCCCAGAGAUCCCCAAAACGCCCCUCAGGAGAGGCCUUCUGGGUCCUUUACCUCGUAACCACACAUCUGUGUGAAGCUAGAUGUUCCCGAUUUAUUCCAAAACAAUAUAUCGCCUGUAGAAAUGGAUGUGUGAAUCUAUCUGCCUUCUAGUAAACCAUUUUUUUAACCAAGUGCCAAUUGUAUUAUAUGUGAAUUUAUUUUUAUUUUCUUUCCUGUAAAUGAAUGAAAACAUAAACCUUUGUCUCGGUUUUAAUUUCUAAAGUGAGAUUUAUCAAUACAUAAGUAAUUUGAGAACAAAAUUCUUAUGAGUUUCUGUUUUCUAUGAGCAUAAAGAGGUCCUGAGCUCAAGUUUGAGACUGCUGCCUUAGAGCAGUGCUCCAUAAAGCGUUGCACCAGAUACUAAACAUUGCUCAAAGAGGUGCCUGGCCAGCUCAGUUGGUAGAGUGAGCAUCUUGAUCCUGGGGUUGUGAGUUCAAGCCCCACAUCAGGGGCAGAGUUUACUUAAAUAAAUACAAAAUAAAUGUUGCUCAGAUAAAGGUUCUGUAGCCAAUUUUGUUUGGAAAACACUGGCUUAAACACCAGCAUAUCUUUUCAUUGUGGGACUUCUCAACCUUUACUGUGUGGAUUGUUAAGGGGACCGCAGUGUGCUGCAUUUCCCAAACGUGGCCCAAGGACAGGCCUUUACUGAGUAAAUGAUGCUCUAGGGAAGACAGGCUGGGCUGGGGUGGGGGAGGCAGGUGAGGACUUUCCAUUCCCUAGAGCUGGUUCCCAGUGAUUAUGGAACUGCCCUCCCUGGGGUGGGAGUGCAGGAGGUUUUACCUGUUGGCUCUCUUUAGGUCAUUCACGAACUCUGCUGAUUGCUGGUGUCGGAUUUCACUGCUCUUGGUGAGUCUUUCCAAGGCGCUUACCAACUCUUGCACUCUGGCCUUUAACUUCUUUUCCCUGUACCCAGAAGAGACAAAGCAUGCCUUGAGUAACUUGACAUGAUGGGGCAGUGGCUCUUCCCUGCAAGUGGUGGCAGAAAGGUUUAGCUUGUAAAGUGAAAAGGCAGGUAUGGAGAGGAGGGUACUAGAGGGCUCAAGAGUCCCCCCCUCCCCCGGAGAACCAGAACAUCUCAGCGCUGCUUUCUUUAAUGAGAAGGGCCCUUUAGAGAUCUCAGAUCUCCGUGUCACAGAGGAAUAAGGCCCAAGGUUGUAGCCUUCCAGCUAUGGGAAGUAAGCCAGUCUAGAAGUUUUUGCUGUGAGAAUACCAAAUGCUCCGCUAUGAGUGCAGCUCGGCCACAGAACCUCAUCAGGGGCCCACACUCCUCUUUUCCAAGUGUGCUGAAGCAUCUCUUGAACCACUCUGAUGUGAGAACAGAAACUUCUGGUCUGGGUGGCCCACCCUGGGAGGAAACCAACAUGAUCUUACUUUUGCAGAAACACAAAAAGCAGUAGUGAUAGAGGGAGUCGAAAUCAGUAUUCUCAUUUUAAAGGUCCUUGUUCCCCUUUACUUAAAUUAGAUUUGCAUUUUGACAGUCCCCUGCCCCCAAGGCUUCAAGUACCAUGGGUGCUUUCCUGCUAGAGGAACUCAGAGUAAUUGACUUAGGGUUCAGUUACAGGUUUCUGGUGUCCAGUCUGCAUACUGUCUUCCUGUGAUUUCCUCAAGAGCAUGAGACCUGGACAGGGAAACAAUGAGACCUUCCCUCAAGAUGUACCCCUUUUGUAGGCACAGUGUUACCACAUAGUCCCAAGCUGCAUGUGCAGCACAACCUGAUCUGUUUAAACUCAGCAGGCUCCCCCACUGGCAUGUGGGCUCUAAGGUGGCAAAGACCUUACCCUAAUGUACCCCGGUGCCCAGCACCAUGCCUGGAUGACUGCUUCUCCAUGACAAUAGUUGUUAAAAUAGCGUCAGAACAACUCACUAAAGGUGUCUGAUUCCUUGGAGCAUAAUGAGAAACCAGGAUUUACGGGAGAAAUUCCUCUAAAAAGGACUCACGAGUGGAAGCAUGUAGCAAAAUAAAAAGUGAACAUAUUCCUUGACCUUUCUGUUAAAGAUGCAGCUCAAAGUGCGCUGGCAUGGAAAGGUGUCUGAUACAAUGUCAAGUGAGAAGGGUGAGUUCUACUGGAAGCCAGUUUUGGAAAGACAACUAAAAGUCUGAGUGUGAAUGGCUGAUAAUAACAGACCAGAGAGCUACCCACCACUCAACAACCGGUAACUCCUGGAAGGGGUGACUGAAGGCUUUCUUUUUUAUAAUUUUUUAUAUGCUUUUUGUGAAGUGUGUGAGAAGCAGUCUCAGUGGUAACGCUUCCUGUAGGAGGGCAAGGGAGGGCGCUGGCUCUUCACAGAUCUUUUACAUUUCUGCCUCCAGUCACUCAAAGUGCAAGUCAAGCUCUCAGACAAGCUCACUAAUGAACUGCAUCACAAAAAUCUAGGCUUGCUUUUGUGAGUGAGGAUGGAGGGGGAAAGAUCUCUUUAAAGGAAACCUAACAACCAACCGUAAGUCCUGAUGACUCCUCAUUCCUUGGUGAAUCCUCCCAUCUACCCUUAGGGAGCCAGAGUCCAGGCCCCGGCAGAGGAAUUCCUGAGGAAGGUACCUUGGGGGCACUGGCAGCCACCAGGAAAUCUCAGAUCUGGUCGGAUUUUCUACUGGAACCCAGAGAGCGGGCCGUUUUCUAGCAGAAGCAAGAAGGGUCUCGGAGGGCAGCCCUCUGUCAGCUGAGGCAAUCUGAGAACAGGAAAGGUUUCUCCCCCUUCCUUCUGGCUAUCAAGAAUGGGGAGGGAAGCGGUUACUAGGGCUACAUUUUGUUACCGUUUCAAUUCUUUUAUCUUUCAUUCUAAAGCUGAUGAACAGUGUAAAUGGAAAAACAAUCUGGAAGUGAAUUUAAAAUGUCACCAUGAGCUUAAAUUCAAAACAAAAAACCUGCCCGGAGCCAUACCCUUUCCCGCCCCCAAUUACAUCCACACCCCUGCCCCAGCAGCCCAGAGCAUGGAAAUCCCGGGCUAACCACAAAACAAAGGGUUCCUUUGCCCCAGUACCCAGGCCCCUGAGGGACCGGAGGGAACUUGUCCGGACCUGGCAGGCUCCAAUGGAGGAUCGUACCCAGGAAGACAGAGGAGAGACUCUCAAAGACCCUGUCCAACCCUGGGGGUGGGGGGUAGGGGGCGGCACACUGGGUGCUGAGAAUUGCCUCCAAAAACUCCCUGGGUCUCAGGAAGGAGAUGAGAGUGCACCUGUUUGUGCAGACUCCAGGACAGAAGCAGGAUGCUGAUUUAUUUACUGAUAAAAAGACAAGGCCAAACUUCAAACCUAAACCUAAACCAUGGGUUACUUUUCAUUUCAUUUGACUGAGGCAGAUACCUGUUGUAUGAGUCGUGGCUCACCGACUGAAACACAAAACCGCUUCGAGGUGACCAUGAAAGAGGACUUCACCUCCAUUUUGCUCUUACUCUGCACUAACUGAUUUUUUCUUUUCAGUUUAUCCCUAAAUGCAGGCAAAGCAUCCGGAUGGGAAUGGAAAUUACUCCCUCAAGCAAUGACUACCUUGAGCCAGCAAGACCCUGUAUGACUGACCCCAAAUAAUGAUGGACCUGACCUUUCCUGCCCACUUACAUGUACCCCCUGACCUCUGUCCCACAUUUUCCCGGCAUAAACCUAGAAGUAUCUUCAGCACAGUAUUUAAGUCAAUAGCCCAUGGUCUUCCUGGUGUUGGGGUGACUCAAGUAAAUUCCCAACUUUUGUCACUA